rnacentral:rRNA from 1 species
UACGAAGGGGGCUAGCGUUGCUCGGAAUCACUGGGCGUAAAGCGCACGUAGGCGGCUUCUUAAGUCAGGGGUGAAAUCCUGGAGCUCAACUCCAGAACUGCCUUUGAUACUGGGAAGCUUGAGUCCGGGAGAGGUGAGUGGAACUGCGAGUGUAGAGGUGAAAUUCGUAGAUAUUCGCAAGAACACCAGUGGCGAAGGCGGCUCACUGGCCCGGUACUGACGCUGAGGUGCGAAAGCGUGGGGAGCAAACGGG